rnacentral:lncRNA from 1 species
AUUCGGAUUUUCGCCGGAUCAAUUUUGUGAGGAUUUAAAGAUCCGUGAAUCAUUUCUGUUUAUCAUACAUCGUACUAUUAGAAAUCAUUUUAAAUAUUUUUAUUUAAAAUUAAUUACAAACAGUACCUGACAAAAAUUGAUCGCACAUUGUAUGGUGAACGGACACAAUUUACGAAUUUUCAUGAUCCUCAUCAAAAGGAUUCGGGAGAGGAUCUUGUUAGUAAAUAAAAGCGUGUUCCUGGAAUAUUACAUGUACCAAUGGGCUGCAUUCGCGCUGCUUAUGCGUGUGGCACCAUUGACUUGUGUACGCUACAUUUACUAUUCUGUAUUUAUAGUUUUGUAUUAUAUUUGAGGGUAUACACACAUUAAAUUAGAAGAAAACUAACGAAAAAUUAAAAAAAAAACUAUAGUUUUAAUGAAGAUGACAAAU